UACAGAGACUGCAAGCGUUAUUCGGAUUCACUGGGCGUAAAGGGUGCGCAGGCGGCCGGGUGUGUCAGAUGUGAAAUCCCGAGGCUUAACCUCGGAACUACGUCUGAAACUACUCGGCUAGAGUAUUGGAGAGGGUAACGGAAUUCACGGUGUAGCAGUGAAAUGCGUAGAUAUCGUGAGGAACACCAGAGGCGAAGGCGGUUACCUGGACAAUUACUGACGCUCAGGCACGAAAGCAUGGGGAGCAAAAGGG
rnacentral:rRNA from 1 species